rnacentral:rRNA from 1 species
ACGAACGCUGGCGGCGUGCUUAACACAUGCAAGUCGAGCGGAAAGGCCACUUCGGUGGUACUCGAGCGGCGAACGGGUGAGUAACACGUGAGUAAUCUGCCCUUCACUUCGGGAUAGCCCUGGGAAACUGGGAUUAAUACCGGAUACGACCGGCGCCUGCAUGGGUUGUUGGUGGAAAGUUUUUUCGGUGGAGGAUGUGCUCGCGGCCUAUCAGCUUGUUGGUGGGGUAAUGGCCUACCAAGGCUUCGACGGGUAGCCGGCCUGAGAGGGUGACCGGCCACACUGGGACUGAGACACGGCCCAGACUCCUACGGGAGGCAGCAGUGGGGAAUAUUGGACAAUGGGCGGAAGCCUGAUCCAGCAACGCCGCGUGAGGGAUGACGGCCUUCGGGUUGUAAACCUCUUUCAGCGGGGACGAAGCGCAAGUGACGGUACCCGCAGAAGAAGCACCGGCCAACUACGU